rnacentral:lncRNA from 1 species
GAUUUCUAUAUACCCCGUCCGUCCCUGUAUACAUUAAUGUCCACAUUUUCGCGACAAAACGCAUUACGAGUAAGAUUGGUAAAGUCUCCUUUUUCAACUGAUUUUUAAAGUUCGUUCUUAUGUUGUACUGUUAUACCACUGUCCCUGUUAGGGGGAGAGUUGGGAUCCUGCUAACAUGUUUAACCCCGACACAUUAUUUAUGUAUGUGCCUGUCCCAAGUCAGGAGCCUAUAUUUCAGUGGUUGUCGUUUGUUUAUGUGUUACAUAUUUGUUUUUCGUUCACCUUUUUUUUUACAUUAAUAAGGCCGUUAGUUUUCUCGUUUGAAUUGUUUUACAUUGUCUUAUCAGGGCCUUUUAUAGCUGACUAUACGGUAUGGGCUUUGCUCAUUGUUGAAGGCCCUACGGUGACCUACAUGUAUAGUUGUUAAAAUUUCUGUUUCAUUUGGUCUCUUGAGGAGAGUUGUCUCAUCGGUAAUCAUACCACAUCUUCUCUUUUAUAUUUAUUCGUUUAUAUUGAAGGCCGUACGGUGACCUAUAGUUGUUAAUUUCUGUGUCAUUUUGGUCUUUUGUGGAUAGUUGUCUCAUUGGCAAUCAUACCACAUCUUCUUUUUUAUAUUAUGUUACAAGAUUAAAAAUGUUUUAAGUUGGCUCAAAGAAAUGUGACAAAGUUAAAUAGAACUAUCCCAAAUAGGCCAAAAUACAUGUACGAGAAUUUGGCGAAAUUUGAAGAAAAAAAAUAGGACCAGGAAAUAUAAAGUACAGGCAUUGACAAACCUAAUAUUCAAGUUAGACAUGUAAAAUGUCUUUACAAACAUCAUUUAAAAGAAAUAUUUUUACGACGUGUGCGUUCUAUGCUACCUUCCAAUAAUCAAUGGAAAAUAACCCAUUAUUAUUGAUUUUUUUUGGAAAUUUGAAAUGAGUGUCAUUUAUGACGUCAUGAAUAAAAGGCAGGAACUUAUAUUUUCAACAAAAGAGCUUAU